AUUGAACGCUGGCGGCAGGCCUAACACAUGCAAGUCGAGCGGAUGAAGGGAGCUUGCUCCUGGAUUCAGCGGCGGACGGGUGAGUAAUGCCUAGGAAUCUGCCUGGUAGUGGGGGAUAACGUCCGGAAACGGGCGCUAAUACCGCAUACGUCCUGAGGGAGAAAGGGGGGGAUCUUCGGACCUCACGCUAUCAGAUGAGCCUAGGUCGGAUUAGCUAGUUGGUAGGGUAAAGGCCUACCAAGGCGACGAUCCGUAACUGGUCUGAGAGGAUGAUCAGUCACACUGGAACUGAGACACGGUCCAGACUCCUACGGGAGGCAGCAGUGGGGAAUAUUGGACAAUGGGCGAAAGCCUGAUCCAGCCAUGCCGCGUGUGUGAAGAAGGUCUUCGGAUUGUAAAGCACUUUAAGUUGGGAGGAAGGGCAGUAAGUUAAUACCUUGCUGUUUUGACGUUACCAACAGAAUAAGCACCGGCUAACUUCGUG
rnacentral:rRNA from 1 species